rnacentral:rRNA from 1 species
GACGAACCGAGCGAACGUUGUUCGGAAUCACUGGGCUUAAAGGGCGCGUAGGCGGGCUGUCAAGUCUGGGGUGAAAUCCCACGGCUCGACCGUGGAACUGCCUUAGAUACUGACGGCCUCGAGGGAGAUAGGGGCGAGCGGAACUGUGAGUGGAGCGGUGAAAUGCGUUGAUAUUCACAGGAACUCCGGUGGCGAAGGCGGCUCGCUGGAUCUUUUCUGACGCUGAGGCGCGAAAGCUAGGGGAGCAAACGGG